UUUUUUUGCCAUCACCCGACG
rnacentral:piRNA from 1 species